AACCUCGUAGCUCAAUAGGACAGAGCGUCUGACUACGGAUCAGAAGGUUGAGGGUUCGAAUCCUUUCGAGGUUA
rnacentral:tRNA from 1 species